UACGUAGGGUGCAAGCGUUAAUCGGAAUUACUGGGCGUAAAGCGUGCGCAGGCGGUUUUGUAAGUCUGUCGUGAAAGCCCCGGGCUCAACCUGGGAAUUGCGAUGGAGACUGCAAGGCUUGACUCUGGCAGAGGGGGGUAGAAUUCCACGUGUAGCAGUGAAAUGCGUAGAGAUGUGGAGGAACACCGAUGGCGAAGGCAGCCCCCUGGGUCAAGAUUGACGCUCAUGCACGAAAGCGUGGGGAGCAAACAGG
rnacentral:rRNA from 1 species